rnacentral:tRNA from 1 species
GGCGGGAUAGCUCAGUUGGGGGAGCAGAGGAGUGAA